UGGAUCAAUAAUGAUUCCUGGUGGUGUAGCACUCAUGGCAAUGAAAAGACAUGUGUGAGACUCUGAAAUCUAG